AAUGAAGCAAAUCGAUUUCAAACACAUAAAACAAAGAUUUUCCAUAUAAAUCUAUUUAUAAAGUGUGUAUAACACAUGGAUUGGGCUUCCAGCUGUACCUUUAGCACAAAUCCGUGCGCCUCUUCUCCGGUUUGGAGCAGUUGUUCAAAGAUGAGCACAGCAAACAACAAAGAUAAACAGCAGAAAGAUCCGCGCCUCCGAUCGCUCCUUUCAUCCACCUGUUUCCAGAGACGCAUUACCCAGCCCUCUCUCCCUGUAGGACGCCUAAAUCCGACGGACAUGCCUCAAUGUGGUCUGCGUGAAUCCAAAUAACUUCUUGGCGCAGAGUGAAGCACUAACUGCCGACACUCUUCCCUUCACCCUCUGCAUGAAUCUCCUGCAGAAAUUCGAUGUUGGAGCUUUUUUUUUUUUUUAUAUAUCACCAUCAGCACCCAUCCACUCCAUCAAAGUGCGCACAAGCACUCUCUGCAUCAGAUUAAAAGGCAUGCAUAACAACUAUAUGCAGCACAAGUGGGUGUUUAAAUCCUGCGCAAAGUUCAAAGCAAUUGCUCCCCAUCAUAGGGGAGUCUGACACGCGCUUGAACGCUCCCGGACUGCCAAUUUUUUACUGCACUCUGUCGACAAACCUGUAAUGUAAGCCACAACUGCCCACCAGUGAGGGACGUGCUAUCCUGGACCUACCUUGGCCGACGCUUUGAGGGCUGCGCAGAAAAUCUCAAGCUGCUGGAAGUUUGACUUACUCCUGAUCCCUCGGAGGAGUCGCACUGAGGGAGAGGACGGGCGCCGAUGCACAGCGCGCCAGCUUCAUUUGUGUGUGUGCGUGCGCGGGUGUGUGCGCGCGCGCGUCCACGGGCAAGAGAGAGAAAAAAUAGAACGCCGCCCCCAUUACACAUCUCUGGCCAUCAGUGCUGCUAUUUCUGCCUGCGCCAGUCGCACCAGGAUGGCUGUUCGGAGGAAAAGGCUUUGAAGAAUUGUCCAGGGGCAGCGGGGUUGCUGGAGACUGUCCAGGUUACUGUUGGGUGGAUGCGGAAUACAAACUGGACAAGGCGUCAAGGCAGUAAAUUUGACCUGCGGAAGAAGAUGGAUGGAUGGAACUCUCCUUAUAUGAGGCACUGAAAACUGAUAAAGAGCUACAGCCUUAGCUGUCUAUUGAAGUAAACUAGAGAAUAGAGACUAGGAAGAUAAACGGGAUGUCCUAUAGUGAACCAUGAAGAGGACUCACCAAGGUUGGAGACACUGGAAAGGACUUGCAUUGCUCAAUAGCUACUUGUGAACUCAUGAGCAAAGCAUAAGAACUUUGCAAAACAAGAUCUGACCACAAUCACAGUUUCAACUGGCAAUGAAGUUUUGUCACUGCAGUAGAAUCUGAUCAGAUUUCCUUUUUAAUUGUAGGCUUACUUUAUGUCAAACUCGUUCGAUAUAAAAUUGAUUUGGUAAUUUUUAUUUCUGUCUGUGGUCCAUGUUCCUCUAAAUUUACCCUAAAAGACAAUUUGACACUUGUGACUGGACAACAUAAUUACCACAGAUGCAUCGAUUCACACAAAAGAAACCAAAAUCUGCACCGUAAGCAGCCAUUGUGAAAUAUAAAAGACAGAAACAUACAAAUCUUGUGUUCAGAAGACUCACAUUUCAACAUGUUUAUAAAAGCAUUCACAUCCACGUGUGAGAUGCAGAUUGGUUUUAUAAGUGGACUGGUGUGGGUAAUAAAUCAUUUCCUGCUCACAUAAUAUUGCAAAUGACAAACUGUAUAUAGCUCAGAAUAUAUUUGUUCAGGAGAGUAUAUGUGUGCUCUGGUAGAAUUUUUUUUUUUUUCAUUUCCAGAGUCUGGGCUCCUGUGUAUGUGUGUGUAUACUGUGUGUGUGUUUAUGCAUCUAGGGCUUUAGCGUUUGUGUGAUCUGUGGCAUUAAACCUUGGGGCCUCAAUUUUACGCUGCAGCCUCGAGGUGGACUUAUGAAGUUAAACAAGCCACUUACAGUGAUGCACCAGGUGAGGCAUUGCUAAUGGAUGAUAUGAUUUACUGCCUUUUGAGCUUUUAUUAAACAGGCCACAUCACAUUGUUUUAAGGCUUUCUGCUCUUAAUCAUAUUUGAGCGUUUUGUGAUGUUUCAAAACAAGAUUUUAGAUUAACCUAUUUUCUUUGCUCCCUCCGCAGGUCUGCGUUGAUUUAUUCAAUUCCGAGGGUAUGAAGUGCUUGCUGUUACUAAGCUCACUGUUCAGAGGUAGAGCUGACUGUAAUCUUUAUGCAGUGCAUCACAGACAAAUGGGGGGAGAUUUGUAAAUGUUCAGAUUCAUCAGCUGCUUUCAGACAUAUUUUCAGCAGGUGUGAAACGAAAAUGCCAGCCUACUUCUUUGUUUAAAGAUGCAAGGUGAGACUAAGCACAAUUUCUGCCUGUAUUUUUUUUUUUUUUUUAUCCAACAGUCCCUAGUUUCUUUCAUUAGAAUAAGUGAGGUUCAACUAUUAUAGAGGGUUUUGUGGAGAUGCAGAAAAGCACUGGAUAUCUGUGGAAUAACUGUGAUUAGUAUUAUGUUUCUUAGUAAUGUUGAUCUCUGCUUACUUUUUAUGCACGUGUCCUCAAACAGUCAAAUAAAAGUGGCUAUUUUUUAAGAACAUGUAAAAAAGUUUUGUUGAUUCUCGCAGUCAAAAUGAAACAGCUCUGAGAGGAAGGAGGUGAGGAGUGAGUGAGGGGAGAACAAGUCAAUCUCAACUAUGAUAUUAAAGCAAAAAUUUAAAGAGCCUUUAUCAUGCUGUCCUCAAGCCUUUCAGAGGAUGUAUAUAUGGUAAUAUAUUACCUUUGGCGCACUAAAGGAU
ensembl:lncRNA